AUUUCUAGCUUGCUAGAAGAUGACGAGUGGCGGACGGGUGAGUAAUGCUUGGGAACUUGCCUUUGCGAGGGGGAUAACAGUUGGAAACGACUGCUAAUACCGCAUAAUGUCUUCGGACCAAACGGGGCUUAGGCUCCGGCGCAAAGAGAGGCCCAAGUGAGAUUAGCUAGUUGGUAAGGUAACGGCUUACCAAGGCGACGAUCUCUAGCUGUUCUGAGAGGAAGAUCAGCCACACUGGGACUGAGACACGGCCCAGACUCCUACGGGAGGCAGCAGUGGGGAAUAUUGCACAAUGGGGGAAACCCUGAUGCAGCCAUGCCGCGUGUGUGAAGAAGGCCUUCGGGUUGUAAAGCACUUUCAGUUGUGAGGAAAAGUUAGUAGUUAAUACCUGCUAGCCGUGACGUUAACAACAGAAGAAGCACCGGCUAACUCCGUGCCAGCAGCCGCGGUAAUACGGAGGGUGCGAGCGUUAAUCGGAAUUACUGGGCGUAAAGCGCACGCAGGCGGUUUGUUAAGCUAGAUGUGAAAGCCCCGGGCUCAACCUGGGAUGGUCAUUUAGAACUGGCAGACUAGAGUCUUGGAGAGGGGAGUGGAAUUCCAGGUGUAGCGGUGAAAUGCGUAGAUAUCUGGAGGAACAUCAGUGGCGAAGGCGACUCCCUGGCCAAAGACUGACGCUCAUG
rnacentral:rRNA from 1 species